GACGAACGCUGGCGGCGUGCUUAACACAUGCAAGUCGAACGGAAAGGCCCUGCGUGUUUGGUGUUCUCGAGUGGCGAACGGGGGAGUAACACGUGAGUAACCUGCCCUUGACUUUGGUAUGACUUCAGGAAACUGGGGCUACUACCAUAUAGGAUCUGCUGCUGCGUGGUGGGGGUUGGAAAUUUUCGGCUGGUGGGGAUGGACUCGCGGCUGAUCAGCUUGUUGGUGGGGUAGGGGCUUACCAAGGCUUUGACGGGUAGCCGGCCUGAGAGGGUGAACGGCCACAUUGGGACUGCGAUACGGCCCAGACUGCUACGGGAGGCAGUAGUGGGGAAUAUUGCACAACGGGCGGAAGCGUGAUGAAGCAACGCCGCGUGCGGGAUGACGGCUUUCGGGUUGUAAAACGCUUUAGCCUGUGACGCCGCGUGAGUGACGGUAAUGGGUAAAGAAGCACCGGCUAACUACGUG
rnacentral:rRNA from 1 species